rnacentral:misc_RNA from 1 species
GAUGAAGAACGCAGCGAAAUGCGAUAAGUAAUGUGAAUUGCAGAAUUCAGUGAAUCAUCGAAUCUUUGAACGCACAUUGCGCCCGCCAGUAUUCUGGCGGGCAUGCCUGUCCGAGCGUCAUUUCAACCCUCGAACCCCUCCGGGGGGUCGGCGUUGGGGAUCGGCCCCUCACCGGGCCGCCCCCGAAAUCCAGUGGCGGUCUCGCCGCAGCCUCUCCUGCGCAGUAGCUUGCACACUCGCACCGGGAGCGCGGCGCGGCCACAGCCGUAAAACACCCCAAACUCUGAAAUGUUGACCUCGGAUCAGGUAGGAAUACCCGCUGAACUUAAGCAUAUCAAUAAGCGGAGGA